GAGCAUGAGCCAGGGUGGCCCAGGGACUCACAGGAAUUCCCCUUCUGCCCUGAGCCCACCAGAGCUGGCUAUACAAUGACAACUUCACCCGCCCCCCCAUGGGCAGCACCUGCUCCCUGGUUCUCCCCUGGUGGCCCUAUUAUCCCGCACCUGCUGCUUCCCCACCUGCUCCCUUUUCUUAGCCCCUUUCCCAUAGCACACCCUGUUCAUCACUAGGCCCAGCUGCCUGCUCUGACAGCCAGCCAGGAAGGGGUGGUAGAACCAGGAGAGGUAGCACUGGCCUCUGGACCCUCUGUCCUAGGACAGAGGGUCCAGAGGCCAGUCCAGCUCUGUUUGACUAAAAGUGUGUAUGCUUACAGUGGACUCCAUUUCAGGGCCUCAGUCUCUCCACCUGUGAAGUGGGAGCAGCAAUCUCUGACCUCAAGUUUCUACAAAAACUUUACUGCCUGGAAGACCUUAGGAUAUCUUGAUCCAAGAUCUGAGUUACAGAGGACAGCCAGAAAAGAAGUGGACCAUGAGGACAAAGAAGGGGGCAAGGGAGGGUGACGCAACCUUCACGUGCAUGAAGAUGCUAAUGGUUCAUUAUUUUAUAUGCUGAAGAAAAAAAUCAAAAGAACUAAAACAAUCCUUAAAACAAAGCAAAGCAGAAAAAAAAGAAUCACUUCUGGGG
rnacentral:lncRNA from 1 species